rnacentral:rRNA from 1 species
GUGGGGAAUAUUGGACAAUGGGCGAAAGCCUGAUCCAGCCAUGCCGCGUGUGUGAAGAAGGUCUUCGGAUUGUAAAGCACUUUAAGUUGGGAGGAAGGGCAGUAAGCUAAUACCUUGCUGUUUUGACGUUACCGACAGAAUAAGCACCGGCUAACUCUGUGCCAGCAGCCGCGGUAAUACAGAGGGUGCAAGCGUUAAUCGGAAUUACUGGGCGUAAAGCGCGCGUAGGUGGUUCGUUAAGUUGGAUGUGAAAGCCCCGGGCUCAACCUGGGAACUGCAUCCAAAACUGGCGAGCUAGAGUACGGUAGAGGGUGGUGGAAUUUCCUGUGUAGCGGUGAAAUGCGUAGAUAUAGGAAGGAACACCAGUGGCGAAGGCGACCACCUGGACUGAUACUGACACUGAGGUGCGAAAGCGUGGGGAGCAA